rnacentral:sRNA from 1 species
GACAGAGGGUGCAAACGUUGUUCGGAAUUACUGGGCGUAAAGCGCGUGUAGGUGGCAUGGCAUGUCGGGUGUGAAAUCCCGCGGCUCAACCGUGGAAGUGCAUUCGAAACUGCCAAGCUAGAGUCCUGGAGAGGAAGAUGGAAUACUUGGUGUAGAGGUGAAAUUCGUAGAUAUCAAGUGGAACACCGGUGGCGAAGGCGGUCUUCUGGACAGUGACUGACACUGAGACGCGAAAGCGUGGGGAGCAAACAGG